rnacentral:rRNA from 1 species
UACGUAGGGUGCGAGCGUUGUCCGGAAUUAUUGGGCGUAAAGAGCUCGUAGGCGGCCUGUCGCGUCGGAUGUGAAAGCCCGGGGCUUAACCCCGGGUCUGCACUGAUACGGGCAGGCUAGAGUUCGGUAGGGGAGACUGGAAUUCCUGGUGUAGCGGUGAAAUGCGCAGAUAUCAGGAGGAAGACCAGUGGCGAAGGCGAGUCUCUGGACAGCAACUGACGCUGAGGCACGAAGGCCAGGGGAGCAAACGGG